rnacentral:rRNA from 1 species
GCGACCCCAGGUCAGGCGGGACUUCCCGCUGAGUU